rnacentral:rRNA from 1 species
GAUGAACGCUGGCGGCGUGCCUAAUACAUGCAAGUCGAGCGAACAGACGAGGAGCUUGCUCCUCUGACGUUAGCGGCGGACGGGUGAGUAACACGUGGAUAACCUACCUAUAAGACUGGGAUAACUUCGGGAAACCGGAGCUAAUACCGGAUAAUAUAUUGAACCGCAUGGUUCAAUAGUGAAAUACGGUUUUGCUGUCACUUAUAGAUGGAUCCGCGCCGCCUUAGCUAGUUGGUAAGGUAACGGCUUACCAAGGCAACGAUGCGUAGCCGACCUGAGAGGGUGAUCGGCCACACUGGAACUGAGACACGGUCCAGACUCCUACGGGAGGCAGCAGUAGGGAAUCUUCCGCAAUGGGCGAAAGCCUGACGGAGCAACGCCGCGUGAGUGAUGAAGGUCUUCGGAUCGUAAAACUCUGUUAUUAGGGAAGAACAAAUGUGUAAGUAACUAUGCACGUCUUGACGGUACCUAAUCAGAAAGCCACGGCUAACUACGUG